rnacentral:tRNA from 2 species
AUGAGGGGUAUGGAACUGGUGUUCCUCCUGGUCUGCAAAACCAGUGACAGGAUAUUCAGAAAAUGUCCUGGUGGGUUCAAUUCCCACUUCCCCUC